rnacentral:rRNA from 1 species
UACGUAGGGACCGAGCGUUGUUCGGAAUUACUGGGCGUAAAGGGCUCGUAGGCGGCCAACUAAGUCGGAUGUGAAAUCCCCAGGCUUAACCUGGGAACUGCAUCCGAUACUGGAUGGCUUGAAUCCGGGAGAGGGAUGCAGAAUUCCAGGUGUAGCGGUGAAAUGCGUAGAUAUCUGGAGGAAUACCGGUGGCGAAGGCGGCAUCCUGGACCGGCAUUGACGCUGAGUGAGCGAAAGCUAGGGGAGCAAACGGG